rnacentral:rRNA from 1 species
CUUACCCUACGGGGGGCAGCAGUGGGGAAUUUUGGACAAUGGGCGCAAGCCUGAUCCAGCUAUUCCGCGUGUGGGAUGAAGGCCCUCGGGUUGUAAACCACUUUUGUGGAGAACGAAAAGACACCUUCGAAUAAAGGGUGUUGCUGACGGUACUCUAAGAAUAAGCACCGGCUAACUACGUGCCAGCAGUCGCGGUAAUACGUAGGGUGCGAGCGUUAAUCGGAAUUACUGGGCGUAAAGGGUGCGCAGGCGGUUGAGUAAGACAGAUGUGAAAUCCCCGGGCUUAACUCGGGAAUGGCAUAUGG